AAUGCGUAGAGAUCUGGAGGAAUACCGGUGGCGAAGGCGGCCCCCUGGACGAAGACUGACGCUCAGGUGCGAAAGCGUGGGGAGCAAACAGGAUUAGAUACCCUGGUAGUCCACGCCGUAAACGAUGUCGACUUGGAGGUUGUGCCCUUGAGGCGUGGCUUCCGGAGCUAACGCGUUAAGUCGACCGCCUGGGGAGUACGGCCGCAAGGUUAAAACUCAAAUGAAUUGACGGGGGCCCGCACAAGCGGUGGAGCAUGUGGUUUAAUUCGAUGCAACGCGAAGAACCUUACCUGGUCUUGACAUCCACGGAAGUUUUCAGAGAUGAGAAUGUGCCUUCGGGAAC
rnacentral:rRNA from 1 species